UACAGAGGUGGCAAGCGUUGUUCGGAAUUAUUGGGCGUAAAGGGCGCGUAGGCGGCCUGGCAAGCGGAAGGUGAAAUCCCUCGGCUUAACCGAGGAACUGCCCUCCAAACUGCUUGGCUUGAGUCCGGGAGAGGUGAGUGGAAUUCCCAGUGUAGCGGUGAAAUGCGUAGAUAUUGGGAGGAACACCAGUGGCGAAGGCGGCUCACUGGACCGGAACUGACGCUGAUGCGCGAAAGCGUGGGGAGCAAACGGG
rnacentral:rRNA from 1 species